rnacentral:snoRNA from 2 species
UUGCUUUGUUCAACACCGAUUAGAUGUCCGACCCAAUCCAUUCCACUAAAACAUGGGGACAAAACGAGCCAUUUGUCUGAGAGAA